GACGAACGCUGGCGGCGUGCCUAACACAUGCAAGUCGAACGAGUCCUCGCUUUCGGGCGAGAGGCGAGUGGCGGACGGGUGAGUAACACGUGAGCAAUCUGUCCCUGUGUGGGGGACAACCCGGGGAAACCCGGGCUAAUACCGCAUGGGCAGGACUUUCGAAAGGAAGACCUGGAAAGAGGCCCUCUUUACAAUGGUCUCAUGCAGGGAGGAGCUCGCGGGCUAUCAGCUAGNGGUAGUGGUAACGGCCUACCAAGGCGACGACGGCUACGGGUCUGAGAGGACGA
rnacentral:rRNA from 1 species